CAGCAUCUGACAUCACUGAGUGGAGCAGUGGCAGUAUGAGCCCGGUAAGUACUUGAGUACAACAUCGCCCUCAGAAAGAAGAUUAUCAUGGCUGAAAUCUUGUCAUGCAAAAAUGAGGAUGAGGCACUUGAUAAACCAGGAGUACAGGUGAUAAGUACGAACCAGAACAUGGAAGGAAACUUGGGACUCAAGCAAUGUUGACUGUUAUCACACACAUUCACCUAAGUCAGCUCCCUCCAGAGGUGGUGCAAUCGCCUUCCGUGGAAAUCUUCAAGAGGAGACUGGACGGUCACCUUGCUGGGGUCACCUGACCCUAACUGUCUUUCCUGCUUGGUGCAGGGGAAUGGACCCAAUGAUCUUCCAAGGUCCCUUCCAGCCUUACAAUCUAUGAAUAAUUUGGUGCUGUCCAUGAACUUAGCCAGUCCACUUCUGACACCCAAAUCCAGAUCAUUUAUGAAUAUAUUAAAGAGUACUGGUCUGAGUACUGAGCCCUGGGGAACACCACUUGUCACCAUGCACCAUGUUGACUCAGUUCCAUUGACUAUCACUCCCUGGGUCUGACCACAGAGACAGUUUCCCAGCCAUUGGACCAUAAGGUUUUCAAGGCCGCAGUUCCCCAAUUUUACCAGGAGGACAUCAUGGGAGACCAAAUCAAAGGCUUUUUUGAAAUCCAAAUAUAUGACAUCAACCUCUUCUUUGUCCAGGUGAUACAUCACCUGAUCAUAGAAGGAACUGAGGUAGGUCAAGCAAGACCUACCCGCAACAAAGCCACGUUGGCUCCCUCUCAAAACGUUGCCUUCCAUUAUCCUGUUGUUGAUAGUUUCUUUGAUGAUUUCUUCUAAGAUCUUUCUAGGGAUUGAGGUCAAACUGAUUGGCCUGUAGUUCCCUGGAUCUUCUUUCCUUCCUUUCUUGAAGAUAGGCACCACAUUGGCCCUUUUCCAAUCUUCAUGAACCUCUCCCAAGCACCACAAGUUCUCAUAUAUCCUUGCCAUUGGUUGUGCUAUGAUGUCAGCCAAUGCUUUUAGCACUCUUGGCUGCAUUCCAUUCAGACCAGCUGACUUGUGGAUGGCCAGCCUCUCAAGCUGUUCCCUCAUAAGAUCUUCCCCAAUUACAGGCAUACAAUAGCCCUUACCUUGGUAGUCCUGUGUUCUGUCAGGCAGGGUGACCCCCUUGGGCUGGUGGAAAACCAACGCAAAGUAAUCAUUGAGGAGAUUUGCUUUUUCCUGGGUGUCAGUUCUCAGCUGCUCCAUUUGGUUCAGCAAUGGUCUGAUGUUGCCCUUGGUUUUUUUUGACUUCCCAUGUAUUUGAAGAAGGACUUUUUAUUGUCCUUGAUUCCCAUAGCCAGUUUGAGUUCAGUUUCAGCCUUAGCUUUUCUGCAAGUGUGGGCCAAUGUUGCAUAAUCCUCCUUAGUGGUAUUUACUGGCUUCCAUCCCUUAUAAGCUUCUUUUUUGAGAUUUAGGAGGUCCAUGAGUUCCCUUUUGACCCAAGGGGAUCUACCGGCCCUUUUGAUACCUUUCCUAUGGGCUGGAAUGGACUUCCCUUGUGCUUUUAGGAUCAUUUCUUUUAGGAGUGACCACUCAUUGUGGACUCCCCUCCGUGUCAGAACAUGGUCUCUCAACAACAACCUCCUGAGCUUUCACUUUAUUGAACUUCAAGAGUACUUUACAGACAAUGCUGGUUAAGAUUACAAUCAUUUUAUUAAAUGAUUAACUUCACUAGUUAAGGGAACUGCUAGAAAAUCUUUGCUUGCUCCCAAGUAAUGACCUACAUUAGAAGUUACAAGGAGUAUCCUUCUUCCUAGGACAUAAAUCUUCACUUGUUGCCUGAAAGUCCAAUUGCAUUGACUUUGGAAUGCCAAUACAUGGCUUCCAUUUUGCUAAUUAAUCUUCAUAGAUUUAUGUCAUGUUAGAAAGAUAUCUUCAAGAGUUACUUAUUGUAAGUUUUGCCUUGUGUGAACGUGGGAAAGACCUGUAAUAUUUUUUAAACUAUUAUGAGGCCUUCUGGUUGAUGGGGUGAGUCAGUGGAUUCCACUCUAAGAGAAGCACAGUCACUGAGUCUGUCAGCUGAAAGGGGUGCCCACAGAGUCACUGAGAGAAACUGGAGAAACAGUUGAGCUUGAACCAUGACACCCUGCAGCUACAUUAGACUACUACCUGGGAAACUCUUUGGUUAAAGAGAAAACACAACAACAGGAGUUUCUACUCAGACAGCAGUACACUUACCCUUUGGUAAAGGUGGUAAAGAUGUUCUUUAUCUAGAAUAUGAAAUAGAAGUAACACCUGAGUUAUCAAGACCCCAAAUACUCAGCUUGAAUUCUCUUGCCUUAUUCAUAUCAAGGAGUAAAACUGCAAUUUUAAUCUCACAAAAGGAAUUCUAGAAAUGUUCUUACUGAAACCAAUUUAUUUGAUAAAUUCUAAAAGUCUUCAUUCAUUUAACUGUAUGCAAAAUAUUCGGGGUGUGUGAAGUAGGCCCUAUUCGAUUCAGAUUCGGAUUUGGCCCGAAUCAGGGACAGUGAUUCAAUUUGUUGAUUUGGAUCACUGCUCCUGAUUCGAUUUGGCUGAAACCAAAUCUGAAGAUUCGAUGCCGAUUUGGAGAAUCAGUGAUUCAGACAUAGACACAGCUUUAAAAG